rnacentral:rRNA from 1 species
AGUGAACGCUGGCGGCAGGCCUAACACAUGCAAGUCGAGCGGCAGCGCGGGGGCAACCCUGGCGGCGAGCGGCGGACGGGUGAGGAAUUCGUCGGAAUCUGCCUUUUUGUGGGGGAUAACGUAGGGAAACUUACGCUAAUACCGCAUACGUCCUACGGGAGAAAGUGGGGACCGCAAGGCCUCACGCAGAAAGAUGAGCCGACGACCGAUUAGCUGGUUGGUGGGGUAAAGGCCCACCAAGGCGACGAUCGGUAGCUGGUCUGAGAGGAUGAUCAGCCACACUGGGACUGAGACACGGCCCAGACUCCUACGGGAGGCAGCAGUGGGGAAUAUUGGACACUGGGCGCAAGCCUGAUCCAGCCAUGCCGCGUGUGUGAAGAAGGCCUUCGGGUUGUAAAGCACUUUUGUCCGGAAAGAAAUCCCUGGAGCUAAUACCUUCGGGGGAUGACGGUACCGGAAGAAUAAGCACCGGCUAACUUCGUG